GCCUGUUGGGAAGACCACUGUUAGAGCUGGGCCUGCGCUGCUGUGGUCAGAUCGGUCUGUUGGAGCUGGGCCUGCGCUGCUGUGGUCAGAUCGGUCUGUUAGAGCUGGGCCUGCGCUGCUGUGGUCAGAUCGGUCUGUUGGAGCUGGGCCUGCGCUGCUGUGGUCAGAUCGGUCUGUUGGAGCUGGGCCUGCGCUGCUGUGGUCAGAUCGGUCUGUUAGAGCUGGGCCUGCGCUGCUGUGGUCAGAUCGGUCUGUUAGAGCUGGGCCUGCGCUGCUGUGGUCAGAUCGGUCUGUUAGAGCUGGGCCUGCGCUGCUGUGGUCAGAUCGGUCUGUUGGAGCUGGGGCUGCGCUGCUGUGGUCAGAUCGGUCUGUUAGAGCUGGGCCUGCGCUGCUGUGGUCAGAUCGGUCUGUUAGAGCUGGGCCUGCGCUGCUGUGGCCAGAUCGGUCUCAGUAGAGAGGAGAGCCAGAAGGUCAUGCAUGUCGUUCCUCUCCUAAAAUAGAGGCCCAAUUACCUUAAAUGAGAAUGAUCAUGAAGCUAAACUAUGUGAGUGAGCGUGUGAUUGAGAGGCGGAGUGAUCAUGAAGCUAAACUAUGUGAGUGAGCGUGUGAUUGAGAGGUAGAGUGAUCAUGAAGCUAAACUAUGUGAGUGAGCGUGUGAUUGAGAGGUAGAGUGAUCAUGAAGCUAAACUAUGUGAGUGAGCGUGUGAUUGAGAGGUAGAGUGAUCAUGAAGCUAAACUAUGUGAUUGAGAGGUAGAGUGAUCAUGAAGCUAAACUAUGUGAGUGAGAGGUAGAGUGAUCAUGAAGCUAAACUAUGUGAGUGAGAGGUAGAGUGAUCAUGAAGCUAAACUAUGUGAUUGAGAG
ensembl:lncRNA